rnacentral:rRNA from 1 species
GACGUAGGAGGCGAGCGUUGUCCGGAUUCAUUGGGCGUAAAGAGCACGCAGGCGGUUUGGCAAGUCGGAUGUGAAAUCCCGAAGCUUAACUUCGGGCGUGCAUCCGAAACUGCCCGACUAGAGGUAGGUAGGGGAGAUCGGAAUUCCGUGGUGUAGCGGUGAAAUGCGCAGAAUAUCAGGAGGAACACCGAUGGACGAAGGCAGGUCUC